rnacentral:pre_miRNA from 1 species
UCUUAGGGAUGAGCAAAGAAAGUGGGUUUUUUUGAGAUGGAAACUACUCCUGGUGAAGAUGCUAUGAG